GUUGCUUUCAAUUAAAAGAAACAUAAUCAAUGAAUAAUUUUUAUAUUGUUAAUAUAGAGUUUUGUAAACAAAAUGUAUGUCAAUUAUUUAAUCAGCUGAUCAUUCCCUGGGUAGUCAGUGGAUUGUAACAGGGUACGUCAAGAGAAGCUUGGAAUCUUGAUGGUUUAUGUAACAAGCAAUAUUUGAUGAAUAAAAUUAUUAUGUAGUUAAAAAAAAAAAAAAAAAAAAAAAAAAAA
rnacentral:lncRNA from 1 species